AGAGAGGCUAGCUUGUGCCAAUGCAUUGUGCUGAGCCCAAAGUACUGUCAUCCGUUUUGUGGAAGUUCUUACUGUAUACCGAAACAUCCAGUAAGCAAUGGACAUAUUACACAAGAGUUGGCACUUACCACUUGAUAUUCAACAUCUCUAAAGCGAGCAGCAUCGGUGAAUCCUGCCCAAAGCUCUGAAGCAAAAUGAGGUGCCAGUGGUGCCAACAUGAGCAGCAGAGCAGCAAGUGCACGCUCAAACUCUCGGCCAAACACCACUUCGCCACGGUUCUUGUACUGCACAACAAGAUAAAGACCUUAUGCUAAACCUGCUGGCAUCAAUUGGCAACCUUGUAAGAAUCCACCAUGCCAAACGGGAGCUGCAGGAGAGCAGUAGGCUACAACAGCACAUCCCGCACAAAUACAGCACCAGUGCACCUAAAUCAAGCUCAGCACGUCAUGCUACAAUGUAUGUUUAUGAGAGAGUGCUCUACCUAAAAGGAGUAAGUAGUUAUUUCGCCACAGGCAGUGAAAAUACAAAAUCAAAUGCACAAGUUAUCACUGCUUGGCACUGUCAGCUGUACUGGUUACCAACAAAAGUAAACCUUAUUUCAUGCAUGCUCGACAGGCCA